AUGAACAUUAAAAGUUGCGGGGCUGUUGUGAGUCUUAAAAAGUGGUCUGAAUCUAUGGGUGCCAAGGGUGUACUCAACAUUGCUUGGGUCAAUGUUAGCAACAUCCCUCUGGAUAAAAGACAUGAAAGAAAUAUUGCAUAUGCUGGGUAUUUGGUUGGUGUCACCUUACACAUUGAUAAAACUACUGUUAACAGACUCGAGUCGAUCGGAAUUAAGCUGGGGUGUAGAGAUGCUGAAGAUAUCCUGGCUAAGGCCAAGGGGGUGUUGGGUGGUCAUAUUUAUGAUUUUUUUUUCUAUUCAGUGGACAAAAAUAUUGUGAAAAAUCCCCCAUAA
rnacentral:rRNA from 1 species